rnacentral:misc_RNA from 1 species
GAUGAAGAACGUAGCGAAAUGCGAUACUUGGUGUGAAUUGCAGAAUCCCGUGAACCAUCGAGUCUUUGAACGCAAGUUGCGCCCGAAGCCAUCAGGUUGAGGGCACGUCUGCCUGGGCGUCACAUAUCGUUGCCCAAUGCCUAUUGCAGUGCAAUAGGAAUUUCUAGGGCGAAUGAUGGCUUCCCGUGAGCGUUGUUGCCUCGCGGUUGGUUGAAAAUCGAGUCCUUGGUAGGGUGUGCCAUGGUAGAUGGUGGUCGAGUUAGAACGAUACCGAUCAUGUGCAUGCUCCCCAAAAUAUGGCCUCUAUGACCCACACGCGUCUUUUGACGCUCAUGACGAGACCUCAGGUCAGGCGGGGCUACCCGCUGAAUUUAAGCAUAUGAAUAAGCGGAGGA